rnacentral:rRNA from 1 species
CUAAGGCCGAUGGCGACCGGCGCACGGGUGAGUAACACGUAUCCAACCUGCCGUCUACUCUUGGACAGCCUUCUGAAAGGAAGAUUAAUACAAGAUGGCAUCAUGAGUCCGCAUGUUCACAUGAUUAAAGGUAUUCCGGUAGACGAUGGGGAUGCGUUCCAUUAGAUAGUAGGCGGGGUAACGGCCCACCUAGUCUUCGAUGGAUAGGGGUUCUGAGAGGAAGGUCCCCCACAUUGGAACUGAGACACGGUCCAAACUCCUACGGGAGGCAGCAGUGAGGAAUAUUGGUCAAUGGGCGAAAGCCUGAACCAGCCUAGUAGCGUGAAGGAUGACUGCCCUAUGGGUUGUAAACUUCUUUUAUAAAGGAAUAAAGUCGGGUAUGUAUACCCGUUUGCAUGUACUUUAUGAAUAAGGAUCGGCUAACUCCGUGCCAGCAGCCGCGGUAAUACGGAGGAUCCGAGCGUUAUCCGGAUUUAUUGGGUUUAAAGGGAGCGUAGAUGGAUGUUUAAGUCAGUUGUGAAAGUUUGCGGCUCAACCGUAAAAUUGCAGUUGAUACUGGAUAUCUUGAGUGCAGUUGAGGCAGGCGGAAUUCGUGGUGUAGCGGUGAAAUGCUUAGAUAUCACGAAGAACUCCGAUUGCGAAGGCAGCCUGCUAAGCUGCAACUGACAUU